ACCUGCCCAAUGAUCUUAAACUUAAAAAAUAUAACCAUUUUUAAAAAGAUUUAAAGGACGCAGUAUCCUGACUGUGAUAAUGUAGCAUAAUCAUUCGCCAUUUAAUUGAUGGAUAGUAUGAAUGGUUGAACGAAUUCUUCACUGUCUUAAAAAAAGAAAUAAUGAAAUUUAAAUAAUAGUAAAGAUGCUAUUUAAAAUUGUAAGACGAAAAGACCCUAUAGAGCUUAACUAUAAGUUCUUUUACUUAAAAGAAUAUAAUUCUCAAAAUAAAGAACUUGGUAGUUUAGUUGGGGCGACUAUCUUCUAAUAUUAACGAAGACAAGCAAAAUUAAUAUAUAAUUUAUUGUAUAACCUAUAAGUUUAACAAUUACAAAAGUAGGCAUAAUGACCCGUUUUCAUUUAGUAAUUAAAGAAAACGAUCAAUAAAUAAAAGCUACCUUAGGGAUAACAGGAUAAUUUUGUUUUAGAGAUCCUAUCGAAAACAAAGUUUGUCACCUCUAUGUUGAAUUAAGAUAUCCUAGUAAUGCAGAAGUUACUAAAGGUAGG
rnacentral:rRNA from 1 species